CCAACUCCUGGAACAGGGCGCCCUCCGCUUGGACUGGGCCGGAUACCAGAUAGAACAGCAACGGCUCAUCUUGACUGCCAUAGGCAGUUAUCAAUUGGAGGAAGCGGUCAAGGCAUCCAAUCGGCUGAUUGAACGGGAGAUUCCCCACUCGGUGGUCUAUAUGCUGGAGCCGGGCCGGUUCCGCAUCCCUAGAAGCGAUGGAGAGCGGGAGCACGUGGCAGGCGAUUCUCUGAGAGAUGAACUGUAUCCAGCCUCGGUACCGGCCCGGGUCUUCGCUACCCACACGCGACCUGAACCGGUGCUGGGCACGUUGCAACCUUUGAACACCGGGUACGGGCACACUGGCGGCCUGGGAUUCCUGGGGCACGGCGGGACCCUCACCCCGGCCGGCAUGCUAUUC
rnacentral:misc_RNA from 1 species